CCUACGGGGGGCAGCAGUGAGGAAUAUUGGUCAAUGGACGAGAGUCUGAACCAGCCAAGUAGCGUGAAGGAUGACUGCCCUAUGGGUUGUAAACUUCUUUUAUAUGGGAAUAAAACGUUCCACGUGUGGGAUUUUGUAUGUACCAUAUGAAUAAGGAUCGGCUAACUCCGUGCCAGCAGCCGCGGUAAUACGGAGGAUCCGAGCGUUAUCCGGAUUUAUUGGGUUUAAAGGGAGCGUAGGUGGAUUGUUAAGGCAGUUGUGAAAGUUUGCGGCUCAACCGUAAAAUUGCAGUUGAAACUGGCAGUCUUGAGUACAGUAGAGGUGGGCGGAAUUCGUGGUGUAGCGGUGAAAUGCUUAGAUAUCACGAAGAACUCCGAUUGCGAAGGCAGUUCACUGGACUGCAACUGACACUGAGGCUCGAAAGUGUGGGUAUCAAACAGGAUUAGAUACCCUUGUAGUC
rnacentral:rRNA from 1 species